ACUGGUGGACAGGGUUACCCGAGUGUUGGUUUUCUUUUUAGACAGAUCUAAGAAUGGGUUAUACAGAAGAACAUCACUUACUGUACAAUACGUGGUAUUUUCGUGUUUGAUGUACAGUAGAAGACCACAGAAGAUCCCACUUCUGCUGCAACUGUGUUUCCCAAUACUGGUCCUGGAGCACCCCCAACAGCAAUGAGCUACUCCUGCCAGUUCGUGUCAGCCCCAUGCAGGCGACACGCCCACGGACCGCCCACUGUCUGUUAACUGGGUGCAUCCCCCUUUCUUUCCUGAUG
ensembl:lncRNA